ACGGGAUAAACGCUGAAGGCAUCUAAGCGUGAAGCCCCCCUCAAGAUGAGAUAUCCCAUAACGUCAAGUUAGUAAGACCCCUUGAAGACGACGAGGUAGAUAGGGCAGAGGUGGAAGUGUGGUAACACAUGGAGCUGACUGUUACUAAUAGGUCGAGGGCAUAACCAA
rnacentral:rRNA from 1 species